UGAGGAAUAUUGGUCAAUGGACGGAAGUCUGAACCAGCCAAGUCGCGUGAAGGAUGACUGCCCUAUGGGUUGUAAACUUCUUUUGUAUUGGGAGAAUAAGCCUUACGUGUAAGGUGAUGACUGUACAAUUCGAAUAAGCAUCGGCUAACUCCGUGCCAGCAGCCGCGGUAAUACGUAGGUGGCAAGCGUUGUCCGGAAUUAUUGGGCGUAAAGGGAGCGCAGGUGGAUCGUAAAGUCUUGUUUAAAAGAGCGGGGCUCAACCCCGUUAGGGACAAGAAACUUAAGAUCUUGAGUGCAGGAGAGGGAAGCGGAAUUCCUAGUGUAGCGGUGAAAUGCGUAGAUAUUAGGAGGAACACCAGUGGCGAAGGCGGCUUCCUGGACUGUAACUGACACUGAGGCUCGAAAGCUAGGGUAGCGAAC
rnacentral:rRNA from 1 species